rnacentral:rRNA from 1 species
AGAGUUUGAUCCUGGCUCAGGACGAACGCUGGCGGCGUGCCUAAUASAUGCAAGUAGGACGCACAGUUUAUACCGUAGCUUGCUACACCAUAGACUGUGAGUUGCGAACGGGUGAGUAACGCGUAGGUAACCUACCUAUUAGAGGGGGAUAACUAUUGGAAACGAUAGCUAAUACCGCAUAACAGUAUGUAACACAUGUUAGAUGCUUGAAAGAUGCAAUUGCAUCGCUAGUAGAUGGACCUGCGUUGUAUUAGCUAGUAGGUAGGGUAAUGGCCUACCUAGGCAACGAUACAUAGCCGACCUGAGAGGGUGAUCGGCCACACUGGGACUGAGACACGGCCCAGACUCCUACGGGAGGCAGCAGUAGGGAAUCUUCGGCAAUGGGGGGAACCCUGACCGAGCAACGCCGCGUGAGUGAAGAAGGUUUUCGGAUCGUAAAGCUCUGUUGUUAAGGAAGAACGAGUGUGAGAAUGGAAAGUUCAUGCUGUGACGGUACUUAACCAGAAAGGGACGGCUAACUACGUGCCAGCAGCCGCGGUAAU